UUAAACCGGUUGUUGUUGUAUUUUAUCAGUCAGGGGAAACGACUCUAUUACUCUAAUGGAAGCGCCAUCUUGAUGCUAAGAAAUGUCUUUUUUCUGUUUACGAAAAGGUUGAUUUAGCGGAUCGUACAUAUCAGAAUGACAAAUUUUGAGUGUUGCAGAUGAUGUUCAGUUUGCAGAGGUAUUUGAAAUGGAAAGAAAGAGAAAUAUGAACAUACAUUGACUGCUUUGAAUAUAAGGUGUAAAAAAGAGUUACAUGUGCCAAAAAAUAUGUUGAAAAUUUGAAAACUGUUAACAAGAGCAUCAACAAAUAGAAAAAAGAACAAUACCAGGUCUGGAUAUUUGUGGCAGCAUGCAAUUAUUACCAGGAAAAAAAUGUAGCUGCACAGAAGACACCCCAGAUCAUAAAAUAAUAUUGCAUGUAAAAAAGGAAAGCAUUCCUUUUCAUAGAAUCAAAGAACUCUUUUAACCAAGUCAAGAUGUUAUUAGACAUGUUAUCAUAUAUAUAUAGAUAUAGGAAGAUGUGGUGUGAGUGCCAAUGAGACAACUCUCCAUCCAAAUAACAAUUUAAAAAUUAAACCAUUAUAGGUUAAAGUACGGCCUUCAACACGGAGCCUUGGCUCACACCGAACAACAAGCUAUAAAGGGCCCCAAAAUUACUAGUGUAAAACCAUUCAAACGGGAAAACCAACGGUCUAAUCUAUAUAAACAAAACGAGAAACGAGAAACACGUAUAUAUUACAUAAACAAACGACAACUACUGUACAUCAGAUUCCUGACUUAGGACAGGUGCAAACAUUUGCAGCGGGAUUAAACGUUUUAAUGGGCCCAAACCUUCUCCCUUUUUCUGAAACAAUAGCAUAACAUCACAACAUAUAAAAACAUACGAUAAAAUAUCAAUUAGCAGACUUAACUCAAUCAAAAAACGUAUGAUUACACAAAGAACGUAUAGUACAUUUGUAUUUACAAAUAUAAGAAGUAUGUGUGACUAUGUCAUGUUACAUGUAUGCUGAGAAUAUUUUAAUGUCACAAGGAUAUGAAAUGGAUAAAUGAAAUAUUGUCAACUAUUUAAAUAAAACAGACAGGCUCACAUAAAAAUCAACUGCCUAUGUGAAAGUUUAAGUUGAAUUUAUUGUCUAGAAUUAUCAUACCAUAUAUCCAAAGCACAGAAUUGCCUUUCUCAGAAAUUUUAUAUGUUAAAUAGAAUGAUAUUUGUAGCUUUUAUUUUCUUGGAACUGUUUCAAUAUAAAAUUAAAAACCAAUUGUUCAGAGAACAAUUGAAAGUCUUUCCACAGCAAAGAAAUUUGGAUAAGAAGGUAGUUUCUUCAUACUGAUGCGAUAAAUGAUGGUUUAAUUAUCUUUUUGAGUGAUAUAAGGGAGAUAAUAUGCUACUUCCGGUAAAAUGAAUGUCACAUCCUGUCUCAUAUGAUAGCUUCUUUCACACUGAUUCCAAAAAUAUAUAGUUUCUAUAUACUUUUGUAUGUAGAAUGGGAGAUAAUUGGCCACUUCCGGUUUGUUGGAAGUCAUUUUUAGUCUUCAGUUAUCUGUUUUAUGUAUCUAUAUGACAAAAUAUAUGGAUUCUGGGUACUUUUUGGUGAAAAAAUUGCAAAAAAAAGCUACUUCCGGUUUUCUAAAGGUCACUUCCGGUAGCCAUUUUUCAAGGUCAUUUGUCACUGAACCUUUUGUAUGAGGUCAAAUGUCUUUAUAAUGAACUUAAUUGAAGUUAUAAUCAAAUAACCUCAUAUCAAGACAUUUCAGGGGCAACAACUCCUAUAAGAUGCCAUUUAAUUGUAUAAGACUAAAUGUAGCAUAUCUUCAUUACUUUAAAGCUGACAUUCUGAACUUGUUCUUUAAUAUGUAUCUUUCAAAGUGUCAGAAAAAAUGCAAAAACAAGCAAAAGUCACAAUUGAGAACUUGACCUUGACCUUUGACCUUGACCUCAUUUUCUAAGUUAGGACUUAGGGGACUCAAAUAAAAACAUUCCAGGGUUAUACGGUUAACUGUUUAUGAGUUAAAUAAACACCGACAAAUUUAUUUUGUAAAGGUAGAUAACUCCUAUAAAAUUUCUUCGAAUCGCUUCGAUCCAAAUACGCCAAAAAUUACUGAGGAUGUAACGAAUAAUUUGUAAAAAGAAUUUUGACGCUAUCUUGUUUUGUUACGAAGGAGAUGCACACAGAGGAUAAACAGUGAAAAGGGAGAUAACUCUUACAUAGAAAAUGGUUCGCCUUAGCAGGGUGAAAUUUAAAAGCGCAUAAACUAUAUGAUACCAUAUGAGAAAUAUCUAAGCGACAUAUUGCGAAACAAACAUUUUGCGCAAGAACAAAAUUGGCGGAAGAAAAAAAUAAAAAAAAUAAUAAUAAUCAGAACAAAAACAAUAAGUCUUUCCACAGAAAAGUGGAAAGACUUAAUAAGGGAGAUGUGGUAUGAUUGUCAAUGAGACAAAUUUCCACCAGAGACCAAAGUAAAUGUUAGAAAAUACAGGUCACAGUUAUGUUUGACAUUGUGUAGCAAUAUAUAUGAAAAACACAAAGAUUAUAGUGUAAAAUAAUUCAAACAAGAUAAUAAACUAUUAAUGAUUACUCUUAAACCUGGCAGCAAACUCACUGAAACUAAACAUAAAAGCCAAUUACAGUCAACUCAUAUUCACAAAAGGAACUAUUUUUGGUCAACAUUGAAUUCAAAAAACCAUCAAAGGCAAUGAAAGUCAACAUCUAUGUAGGACUCAAAUCUAUGACGGGUUCCAAAUCUGUGGCAGAUUCCUAAUCUAUGGCAAAUGUGACGUUACAAACGCCAAACAACUCAAAUCUAUGGCAGAUUUUUGUUUACUCCAAAUCUAUGGCAGAUCUUGUGGAAAGGGUACCGUAUAACGUCACAAUUGAAUAUACUGCCAUAUUACAUUUUCGCCACAGAUAACGAUGGCGAAACCCAUAGAUUUAAACACCAUUCAAGAUAAAGAUAUUUCCCUGGCAACAAUUUGCGGGUGGUUUAAAGGAAGAUGUGACAUAUUAUCCCGAAGAUGGACCAAAUGCGCUGUACUGGCCGAGUCCGGCGAUGAAUUAUGGCACUGCUAUUUUAAGUAACGCAUAUUUUAGAAAAAAGGAUUUUUAGAGCCCUUUAGAGUUUGCUGUUCAGUGUGAGCAAAGGCUCCGUGUUGAAGGCCGUACCUUGACCUAUACUGGUUUACUUAUAAAUUGUAACUUUGAUGGACAGUUGUCUCAUUGGCACUCAUACCACAUCUUCCUAUAUCUAGUUUGUAGUAGUUUACUGUAUACGGCUGGCAAAGUUACUAUGAUAUAUAAAAUUACCAGAUACAAAUUUGAUUUAAAUCGUCAGCAAAUAAAAAAAAGAUGUAUUAACGAUAUCGCUGAAAUAAAUAUUAUUUGAAAAUUCAAA